rnacentral:tRNA from 1 species
UGCGGGAUCGUCUAAUGGUAGGACAGCGGACUCUGGCUCCGCUAAUCUAGGUUCGAUUCCUGGUCCCGCAG